GCUCUGGUGGCCUAAUGGUUAGAGCAUCCGCCUAGGGUGCUGGAGGUCGUGGGUUCGAAUCCCAGCCGAAUCA